rnacentral:rRNA from 1 species
CCUACGGGGGGCAGCAGUGGGGAAUAUUGGACAAUGGGGGGAACCCUGAUCCAGCCAUGCCGCGUGUGUGAAGAAGGCCCUCGGGUUGUAAAGCACUUUCAGUGAGGAAGAACGCCUGGUGGUUAAUACCCAUCAGGAAAGACAUCACUCACAGAAGAAGCACCGGCUAACUCCGUGCCAGCAGCCGCGGUAAUACGGAGGGUGCGAGCGUUAAUCGGAAUUACUGGGCGUAAAGCGCGCGUAGGUGGCUUGAUAAGCCGGUUGUGAAAGCCCCGGGCUCAACCUGGGAACGGCAUCCGGAACUGUCAAGCUAGAGUGCAGGAGAGGAAGGUAGAACUCCCGGUGUAGCGGUGAAAUGCGUAGAGAUCGGGAGGAAUACCAGUGGCGAAGGCGGCCUUCUGGACUGACACUGACACUGAGGUGCGAAAGCGUGGGUAGCAAACAGGAUUAGAUACCCCGGUAGUC